GAUGAACGCUGGCGGUAUGCUUAACACAUGCAAGUCGAACGGAACCCUUCGGGGUUUAGUGGCGGACGGGUGAGUAACGCGUGAGAAACUGCCUUCAGAUUGGGGACAACAGUUGGAAACGACUGCUAAUACCGAAUAUGCCUUAGGGUAAAAGAUUUAUUGUCUGAAGAUGUGCUCGCGUCUGAUUAGCUAGUUGGUGAGGUAAAAGCUUACCAAGGCAACGAUCAGUAGCUGUUCUGAGAGGAAGACCAGCCACACUGGGACUGAGACACGGCCCAG
rnacentral:rRNA from 1 species